rnacentral:rRNA from 1 species
UCCUAUUCCUCCUUCAGCUCAGGAUUAGACUCAGUUAGUACUUGGGUUGGAGACCACUUGCGAAUACUGGGUGGUGUAGUAU